rnacentral:misc_RNA from 1 species
ACAUUGAACAUCGAUAUCUUGAACGCAUAUUGCGGGCCUCGGGUAUUCCCGAGGCCACGCCUGUCUCAGGGUCGGUUGAACGUAUCUAUCGCGAGUUGUCUCUUGCUCGCGCAGUGGAUCGUCGCGGCACGCCACGUCCGUGCGUCCUUCGUCGACGCGAUCGGUUGUCUAUUGCCGGUCGUUUCGGCGUUGCGAUGCGCGACGGCGAGUCACGUCGUCCGAAAUUCAGACGGUUUGCACAAUGCGAAACCGCACGUCUCGAAUCCGACGAACUGAGUACGCGAGACGGUUGCUCGGAUGCUCUUGAUCUUUGUACCGUCGUCGUCGUGCUCGUGUUUGUUCGGUGUGCGGAAGUAGUCGUGCUUACGAAGCAUCGAUAUCUUGAUUUGGGCGUGC